AUGAAGAACGCAGCGAAAUGCGAUAAGUAAUGUGAAUUGCAGAAUUCAGUGAAUCAUCGAAUCUUUGAACGCACCUUGCGCCCUUUGGCUAUUCUGAAGGGCAUGCCUGUUUGAGUAUCAUGAACACCUCAACUCUCAUGGUUUGCCAUGAUGAGCUUGGACUUUGGGGGUCUUGCUGGCCUACGGUCGGCUCCUCUCAAAUGAAUCAGCUUGCCAGUGUUUGGUGGCAUCACGGGUGUGAUAACUAUCUACGCUUGUGGUUUCCCACCAGGUAACCUUCAGUGAUGGAGGUUCGCUGGGGCUCAUAAAUGUCCCUCCACAGUGAGGACAGCUUUUGAACGUUUGAUCUCAAAUCAGGUAGGACUACCCGCUGAACUUAAGCAUAUCAAUAAGCGGAGGA
rnacentral:misc_RNA from 1 species